UACGAAGGUGGCAAGCGUUGUUCGGAUUUACUGGGCGUACAGGGAGCGUAGGCGGUUCGGUAAGCCCUCUGUGAAAUCCCCGGGCUCAACCUGGGAACUGCAUUUGUGACUGCACAGCUUGAGUGCGGCAGAGGGGGAUGGAAUUCCGCGUGUAGCAGUGAAAUGCGUAGAUAUGCGGAGGAACACCGAUGGCGAAGGCAAUCCCCUGGGCCUGCACUGACGCUCAUGCACGAAAGCGUGGGGAGCAAACAGG
rnacentral:rRNA from 1 species